UGGCACAAGCUUCAUGAAUCUCCUAUCUCUUGGGAGUGGCACAGGCAAUGGAUCACUUGAUUUCUGCAAAUGAUAAUUUAGUGAUCCAAGUCAAUCAAUAAAGUGCAUGGCUUAAAAAUACUACGUUUAAAAAGUCACGAGAGAAAACAAACGCAUUGAACGCAGGAAUAUUCUAAGAAUCAACUACGACAAUAAUAAAUCCAGCUAGACCUGAAGUCCAUGGGUGUACAGUAUGUGAGGUUCCGUAAGGAAUUCGAAAUUAAGUGCUAAAAUGGUAAACACAAAAGGCUUGAGUUGCGAGAGGGUGUUUGAAAGUUCGAUAAACACUAUCCAAUCGGAAUCAGGAAACGGUAUCAAGUUGAUCGCCGACCACACCCGUGAACCAAAAGGUCUAAAAUUGUCAUUUGGAG